GUUUUAUUCUUGAUACCUAAUUGUACUUUAUUUUUUUUUAAUUUAUAAAUACUCAAAUCAUGAGUUGGCGAGGCAAUCGCCUUAGUGAAUAUAAUCAUCUUUUUAUUGAUGUAAGUCAAAUGGUUGAAAUGGGGAUUCUGCCCUUUGUGUAGCUCAUUUACCUAGUUUUUUAGAACAUUAGAAAAUUAAAAACAUUGUCAUCUUUCAU
rnacentral:misc_RNA from 1 species